UGGGCAACCUGCCCCUAGCACUGGGAUAACCCCGGGGAAACCGGGGCUAAUACCGGAUAUGACCUCGGAGGGCAUCUUCUGAGGUGGAAAUGUUCCGGCGGCUAGGGAUGGGCCCGCGGCCUAUCAGCUUGUUGGUGAGAUAACGGCCCACCAAGGCGACGACGGGUAGCCGGCCUGAGAGAGCGACCGGCCACACUGGGACUGAGACACGGCCCAGACCUCCGUACGGGAGGCA
rnacentral:rRNA from 1 species